GAUGAACGCUGGCGGCGUGCCUAAUACAUGCAAGUCGAGCGAACAGAUAAGGAGCUUGCUCCUUUGACGUUAGCGGCGGACGCGUGAGUAACACGUGGGUAACCUACCUAUAAGACUGGAAUAACUCCGGGAAACCGGGGCUAAUGCCGGAUAACAUUUAGAACCGCAUGGUUCUAAAGUGAAAGAUGGUUUUGCUAUCACUUAUAGAUGGACCCGCGCCGUAUUAGCUAGUUGGUAAGGUAACGGCUUACCAAGGCAACGAUACGUAGCCGACCUGAGAGGGUGUCCGCCAACGUGGAACCAGAAACCGGCUCCAGCCCCCACGGGGGGGCAGAGGUGGGAAUUCUGCGGAAGGGGGCAAAGGCCGGACGGACCACGGCGGGGGGGGUAAAAAAGGUCUGGGGAUCAAAAACCUUUUUUAUGGGAAAAAAACAAUUGGUUAAUAAAUGGUGCCCGUCUUGACGUAACAAAAGAAAAAAGCCGCGGCAACCUCCG
rnacentral:rRNA from 1 species